rnacentral:rRNA from 1 species
GUACUACUCUCAGAGUUUGAUCCUGGCUCAGGACGAACGCUGGCGGCGUGCCUAACACAUGCAAGUCGAGCGGAGACAUUGGCUUCGGUUAAUGUUUUAGCGGCGGACGGGUGAGUAACGCGUGAGCAACCUUUCUCUCAGUGGGGAAUAACACAGGGAAACUUGUACUAAUACCGCAUGAGACCACAUUGUCGCAUGGCAAAGGGGUCAAAGAUUAAUCGCUGAGAGGUGGGCUCGCGUCUGAUUAGAUAGUUGGUGGGGUAACGGCCUACCAAGUCGACGAUCAGUAGCCGACCUGAGAGGGUGAUCGGCCACAUUGGGACUGAGACACGGCCCAA